AACGAACGCUGGCGGCAUGCCUAACACAUGCAAGUCGAACGAGACCUUCGGGUCUAGUGGCGCACGGGUGCGUAACGCGUGGGAACCUGCCCUUAGGUUCGGAAUAACUCCCCGAAAGGGGUGCUAAUACCGGAUAAUGUCUUCGGACCAAAGAUUUAUCGCCUUUGGAUGGGCCCGCGUUGGAUUAGCUAGUUGGUAGGGUAAAAGCCUACCAAGGCGACGAUCCAUAGCUGGUCUGAGAGGAUGAUCAGCCACACUGGGACUGAGACACGGCCCAGACUCCUACGGGGGGCAGGAGUGGGGAAUUUUGGACAAUGGGCGAAAGCCUGACCCCGCAAUGCCGGGGGAGUGAUGAAGGCCUUAGGGUUGAAAAGCUCUUUUACCCGGGAUGAUAAUGACAGGACCGGGAGAAUAAGCCCCGGCUAACUCCGU
rnacentral:rRNA from 1 species